CACAACCCUGAGCCAAGAAAGGAGCUCAGCCAAGUGAAGAGAGGCAGGAAAGUUCAGGUUGUGCUUAGCAGUGAUUCAGCUUGAGACCUGCACUGGCUGCACCCAGGGGCGUUUCAUCUCUUCUGUUUCCAUUUGUGAUCCAGAUGUGAACUUUGCUUCAUGUAUUCGUGCGAUGUGGCCAUAUUUUAUGGCCUGUAAUUACUCCAAACUUCAGAUUUCUUCUGGAAAGAUUCCUGCGACAAUAAUAUGAUACAGCACUGCCCAGAUACUCAUUUUGGAUGGUUUCUAGCCUGAAGACAACGUUGUGAAAUGCAGUACUCACGUUUUACUAAAUAUUUCAGAGCUAUUUAACGAUUGGUUUCAUACUAAAUCAGUGCUAAUCCAGAGAGACAAAGCUGUACCGUUAACUCAGGAAAUAGCCUCCAGAGCAUUUCCCAAGAAAGACGGGCGGUUUGUUUUGAACUUAGAAGAACUCUGAGGAAGCCAUAAAGCUGCUAAAAGGCUUAAAAAUCUUUUUUGUCAGCAAGAGGGCCGAGGUGUUGGUAAAAAUCUUUGGAGUCAGAGCUAAUGUGAUGACUCCAGAUACGCUCUGGGUGUGUGAUGUGCUGUGGACACGGAGAUUUUGCUGAGAGGUAUUUGGGUGUAAAAUUGCAAACUGAGCAGGGGACAGUUUUGUGAAGCUUGUUAAGGAAAUCAUACUCCAGUCAAAAUAUCUAAACUCCCAAGGCCGUUUCUUUGAAAGUAUGGCCUUCAGUGAGUUAGAUUAUGUCCAUUUUGGUACAUAGUUAAGUGUUUAGUAAAUGUUUGAAAUAAAGAGAGAAAGCAGAGAAUGUAAGGAAGAGAGUCUAAUAAGCCUACACAGAAUAGUAAUUUUUUAAGGGGAAACAAUAAAACGGCCAGGAAGGCUUGUGGAGCACAGGUUACUUUUGGAAACAAGACAUUCCACAUUGGGGAAACGAGGGUCCCCAGGGAACUUGGGGACAUCACAUCACUGGUUUGGGGGGCAAAAAGGGAAAAAUAAAUUCCUGAGUGGGAGCGGAUUUUGAGUUAGAGGCCAGCCUUGGAAACCAUGGGUUUCAUGUUGAGGGAAACAGUCUUCCGCGUCGCAGCGGGAGAGAGUGCUAGAGACCACAAACUCAGGUGGCCGGGGAGCCUAGGCUGUCGGUGUUUAAGGUAAAUCAACCCAGUGAACUACAAUGAUGCUUCUUUUGGAAGGGAACCUAAUCUUCAAUCUCAGUAAACUGGAUCUGCAGCUUUUAAAAUCUGUCAACACCCAGUACGAUCUGGGUGUUAGCACAGACGUUUAAGCAAGAGAAGCAGCGUGUCAGAUAAUUAAGAGUGCAGGCUUUGGGAAGUCCUGGUUUCCAGGCUCAGCGCUGCAGUUUGAUCCCAAGUAAAUCACUUGGCAUUUGUAAUUCCGAGUUUUCUUAGCCUCUUGUAGGGGUUAGGAGUACAGGCACCACGGUCAGGGUUCAAAUCCCAGCUCUGUCACUCCCUAGCUGUGUCAUCUUAUAGAAGCUACUGACUCCUUGUAACUCAGUUUUCUCAUAUGGGGUGAGCGAGAAAUUAAAAUAGUACCUCCAUCAUUGGCUUGUUGACGUCCAUUGAGCCCUGACUAAGUGUUAGUUUUUAAUAAGUGUGUCAGUCACGUGACUUAGAAGUCCUGAGUAUAUUUGCUAUCUUCCAGAAACUUAAUGACCUGGUUAUAAAGACCAGGCUAACACAUAUGGAAAUGAAAACAAUACAGGGCAUUUAUAAGUAGGUGUUAAAAGAGUGUAACACAGACAGUAAAGGGUGACUGAUUAAGGGGUUAUUACACGUCUGCUGGGCACAGACAGGCACUAGGCUGAGUCCUGUGGACACAGCAGUGACCUGCCAGGUCCUUGUUCUCAAGAAGCUCACAGUCUUGGGAUAGAGCCAAUAGGAGUAGGGGUAGAAAUAAAUGCUACAGUAGAGGUCACUGCUGGGGAUCAUGGGGCUCAUGGUGGGGCACCCGGCCUAGUUUUAGGAGGUCAGAAAAGGCUUGACUUCAGUGACAGCAGGUUAAGUACCAGCUUCAAACACUCAGGGUGUCUGUGAGUUUCCAGCGAUAUUUCCACCUGGUGCUUGCUUUCUUCUCCAUUAACCUUAAUGGCUCAGCUGGAAGUCAGCCACCGCUGCUAAGUGUUCUUGAGUUCUACCCAGCAUUGGCAGCAGCUCCCUUAUUGUCCUGACGACGUCAGAAAUAGAAAUUCCGCCCCAUCACAGCCAGGCUGUUGCUACCCAGGCAAUGGAAGAGCAUUUCCACUUUCUAGGAGCCUGUCCUCUCCAACACUGAGUGGCCCUCUGUCACCUUCACAAGUCCUCAGACUUAUGGGAAAGCGUCCCAUUUCUAGAGUGUAUACCUGGGAGUAGAAUUGUGGGUAACUCUGUUUAACCAUUUGAGGAACCACCAGACUGUUUUCCACAGUGGCUGCAUCACUGCGUUCCCACUGGCAACGUGAGUUCCAGUUUCUGCACAUCCUCACUAACACUCAUCCUCUCCCUGCCUUUUUUUAUGAUUGCCAUCCUACUGGGGGAAAAUGGUAUGUCACUGUGGUCUUGAUUUGUACUUUCCUAAUGACCAAUGAAAAGAUGUUGAACAUCUUUCCAUGUGCAUUUUUGCCAUUUGUUUAUCUUCUUUGGAGAAAUGUUUAUUGCAGGCCUUUGCCCAUUUUUUUCCAUUGGGUUGUUUGUCUUUAUUUUAAUAAUUAUAUAUUCUGGAUGCUAGACUUUUAUCAGAUAUAUGAGAUAUUUUCUUCUAAUUUGUGGGUUGUGUUUUCAUGUUCUUGAUAGUCCUUUGAUGCAGAGUUUUAAAUUUUGAUGAAAUCUAAUUGAUCUGUUUUUUCCUUUGGUUGCCUGUGCUUUUGGUGUCAUAUAUUGCAUGCAUAUAUCCAGCUGUCCUAGCACCACUUGUUGAAAGACUAUCCUUUCCCCCAUUGAAUGGUCUUAGUACCCUUGUCGAAAACCAAAUGACCAUCGAUGCACGAUUUUAUUUCUGGAGUCUCAGUUCUGUUCAGUGAUACAUAUGUUUAUGCCAGCACCAUACUGUUUUGAUGAAUACAGCUUUGUGAGUGCUCUACUUUUAUUACUCCAGAUGCUUCCAAUAUGUAGUACAGUUGGGUAUUGUGAUCAGUAUUUUGUAUUUUCCUUUUUUUUGGAGCAUGUGCUUCUGUGUGGAUCACUGAUGGAAUCAGCGCCCUUGUCAUUUAAAAUAAUUAUGAAGUGUUUGUUUUAUUGCCUUACAGAGCUGUGCUUGGUUUUGUCAAGCUCUUAUGUCACCCUGUUUUGUGGGUUGGUUUUUACUGUUUUAGAUAGCCAUGUGUGUACUGUUUCUUCUGGGCCGAGGCUCGUUAGCUGUCAAGCACCAGCCCGGAUCCAGACUACUCCCACCUGUCUCAGCCCAGAUCCAACACUUCCUGUCAGUCAUGAAUUGAAUUUCUGGGGUAGAAGCCUAAGAAAGCCAUUUUCUUGAACCAGAGCUCUCCAGAGGUCAGGAGUGGCACCAGCCUUACGAUCUGCUCUUUGUUUUUUGGGGUUUUUUUUGUAAAUUACUAUCCCUGAGAUGUCAUGCUGAUGAGGAGACACAUGGGGGAACACCCUGUCUUUUGGAUUUCUCUCAUGCUGCCCAGACAAGCACCUACAGGUGCUGUUUCCUCAUGUGUCCCUGUCUUUAGAAAGGAGGCGCUCCCAGAGAUGUUGGGACCUGUUCAAGGUGGCCCGGUGACCUCACAGUGCUGCCAGGAGCCUCAUUCACCCCUCACUCCGUGGCUUCCCCUCUUGGCAUCCUCGCCAAACACUCCUUCCCUACUGGGCAACAGAAGACCGGAUGCAGAUCUCGGCUUUCUUCUUCCUGCUCUUGUGAACCACGUGGGUCGGGCGCCCCAGCAACAUGUCACUUGCACACGUGCUGCUCUUUAUAAAGGGUGAGGAAACAGGCUCAGAGGUUUGCCCAGGGUUGGCGGUGAGCAGAUGGUGGAGCUGGACGGCCGAAGCUCAGGCCCUUCACCCUGACCAUUCACUCUGCCCUUGUGCACCACGUUCUGCAGCUUUGUUCUCCAUGGCCUGAAGAGCAGGGGAGAUGCCAGAAUUGGGGGCAGGGGCCCCCCACUUCCCGCCCAGGCCUCAGAGCCACAAGAGAAAGCAGCGUUCACCUUCAAGUGCAUUACAGAUCGAACGUUCACCCGCUGAAGACCCACCACCCUGUUAACUGGCCGGAACGGAGGUACUCCCAUGGGCUGUCUAACGGAAACAAAGCCAGAGAUCCUGAGGCCUCAAGGAGACACUACGGCGUACACGAUCCAAGGCCGGUUGAACUCUCGCUGCAGAACCAUGCUGUGGAGGAAUGGUGCACACACGGGGCCGACUGUAAGUUAUAUGCAGACUUUUGACUGCCCAGAGGGUCAGCACCCCUAACCCCGCGUUGUUCCAGGGUCAACUGUACUGCUUUUAUCUGUUUUAUAUCCUGAAUUUAUUGAUUGACAAACGAGGAAGCUAAGUUUGGAGAGUGACACGCACAAAGCACACAACUGAGUUACUAGAGAAAGCAGCCAUCUGCACACCCGGCCACUGCCAGGCUGGCUCCCUGCCGAUCCGCCCGGCUCCCUGGUCUAAGGCUGGGCAGACGGGGGCCUGAGAGGAUAUGGGGCAGCUGGCCUGAGAACCGGCCCCCGAGCCUGCAUUCUUACCACCCCCAGCCUCAGUAGAGGCAGCUUCUGAAAGGUGCUGAUAGUCUGUAACAGUGCACUCAGUAGCCAGGGCUGUCCUCAUGGAGGGAGGUGACAGAACUUGUGCAGGGAAACUUGAGGCACUUAAGGGACUCAGACAGCAUCAUGAGUGCUUGGUCUCAUUGCCACAGCUGGGCCCCACCACAGUUAGGGACUUUGUGACCCACUCACAGGCCGCAGUGUAGGGGAAAUUGAUUCUUCCACCCAGCCUACCAGACUGUAAACCAGAGUAAGGGAUGCUGUGAACACCUCGGGGAGAGAGGUGCACCUGUUGAUUUAUCUGGGGACAAGAGCCGGCUUUGCCAGACAGUGACCCGAGGACCACCCCUCCAAUGAUGAGAAGCAGUGUGGGCCACGCCGCAGAACUCAAAGGAACCAACCGUGGACCAGGGCUAAGAAAAUGCAGCUGAAAGCACGCAUCCAGGAUUCCAUCUUCCGCGGUCCCUGGAGAGGGCGCCACUAGAGGGAAUGUGAAAGAGAUGCAUUGUUUCUCUUGCCAACCUUCUUUUGGGGUGUGUCCUUUAAAGUUCUGCCUUUCAUACUUUGCUACCUCAAGAUAACCGACAGCCAGACCUCAGUUAUCCACAAGUGGAUUAUCCAUUUAGGGGAUUAGCUAAGCAAAAUUAAAAUCUCAGACCAGGCUGAGCUGCCCAACCCCAUCCUCCACUGAUUCUCUCUCAAGGAAUGAAAGCUAACUUUAGCCUGAGCAAACAUAAUUAGGAAUGUAAAUCUGCUACUGGGGAAAAAAAAACCCACAGACUCAACAAAAAGUUUGACUGUAUUA